CCUACGGGAGGCAGCAGUGAGGAAUAUUGGUCAAUGGGCGGGAGCCUGAACCAGCCAAGCCGCGUGAGGGAAGAAGGUACCGCGUAUCGUAAACCUCUUUUGUCAGGGAACAAAGGCUGGGACUAGUCCACUGAUGAGUGUACCUGAAGAAAAAGCAUCGGCUAACUCCGUGCCAGCAGCCGCGGUAAUACGGAGGAUUCAAGCGUUAUCCGGAUUUAUUGGGUUUAAAGGGUGCGUAGGCGGUCUUUUAAGUUAGAGGUGAAAUUCCGUGGCUCAACCUAGGAAUUGCCUGUGAUACGGGUAGGCUAGAGAGUGUUUGCGGGAGGCGGAAUGCAUGGUGUAGCGGUGAAAUGCUUAGAGAUCACACAGAACACCGAUUGCGAAGGCAGCCUACCAAGCCAUUUCUGACGCUGAGGCACGAAAGCGUGGGGAUCAAACAGGAUUAGAUACCCGAGUAGUC
rnacentral:rRNA from 1 species